rnacentral:rRNA from 1 species
AGAGGGUGCGAGCGUUAAUCGGAUUUACUGGGCGUAAAGCGUGCGUAGGCGGCUUUUUAAGUCGGAUGUGAAAUCCCCGAGCUUAACUUGGGAAUUGCAUCAGAUACUGGGAAGCUAGAGUAUGGGAGAGGAUGGUAGAAUUCCAGGUGUAGCGGUGAAAUGCGUAGAGAUCUGGAGGAAUACCGAUGGCGAAGGCAGCCAUCUGGCCUAAUACUGACGCUGAGGUACGAAAGCAUGGGGAGCAAACAGGAUUAGAUACCCUGGUAGUCCAUGCCGUAAACGAUGUCUACUAGGCCGUUGGGCCUUUGAGGCUUUAGUGGCGCAGUAACGCGAUAAGUAGACCGGCUGGGGAGUACGGUCGCAAGACUAAAACUCAAAUGAAUUGACGGGGGCCCGCACAAGCGGUGGAGCAUGUGGUUUAAUUCGAUGCAACGCGAAGAACCUUACCUGGUCUUGACAUAGUAAGAACUUUCCAGAGAUGGAUUGGUGCCUUCGGGAACUUACAUACAGGUGCUGCAUGGCUGUCGUCAGCUCGUGUCGUGAGAUGUUGGGUUAAGUCCCGCAACGAGCGCAACCCUUUUCCUUAUUUGCCAGCACUUCGGGUGGGAACUUUAAGGAUACUGCCAGUGACAAACUGGAGGAAGGCGGGGACGACGUCAAGUCAUCAUGGCCCUUACGACCAGGGCUACACACGUGCUACAAUGGUCGGUACAAAGGGUUGCUACCU